GACGAACGCUGGCGGCGUGCCUAAUACAUGCAAGUCGAGCGGACCGAAGGGAGCUUGCUCCUUUAGGUUAGCGGCGGACGGGUGAGUAACACGUGGGCAACCUGCCCUGCAGACUGGGAUAACUUCGGGAAACCGGAGCUAAUACCGGAUAACACCGAAAACCGCAUGGUUUUCGGUUGAAAGGCGGCUUUUAGCUGUCACUGCAGGAUGGGCCCGCGGCGCAUUAGCUAGUUGGUGAGGUAACGGCUCACCAAGGCGACGAUGCGUAGCCGACGGGAGAGGGUGAGCGGCCACACUGGGACUGAGACACGGCCCAGACUCCUACGGGAGGCAGCAGUAGGGAAUCUUCCGCAAUGGACGAAAGUCUGACGGAGCAACGCCGCGUGAGCGAAGAAGGUCUUCGGAUCGUAAAGCUCUGUUGUCAGGGAAGAACAAGUACCGUUCGAACAGGGCGGUACCUUGACGGUACCUGACGAGGAAGCCACGGCUAACUACGUGCCAGCCGCCGCCGUAA
rnacentral:rRNA from 1 species